rnacentral:tRNA from 1 species
ACAAGUGUAGCUCAGUUGGUAGAGCAGAGGAUUGAAGCUCCUCGUGUCAUUGGUUCAAUUCCAAUCGCUUGUA